AUUGAACGCUGGCGGCAGGCCUAACACAUGCAAGUCGAACGUUAACAGGAAGAAGCUUGCUUCUUUGCUGACGAGUGGCGGACGGGUGAGUAAUGUCUGGGAAACUGCCUGAUGGAGGGGGAUAACUACUGGAAACGGUAGCUAAUACCGCAUAACGUCGCAAGACCAAAGAGGGGGACCUUCGGGCCUCUUGCCAUCGGAUGUGCCCAGAUGGGAUUAGCUAGUAGGUGGGGUAACGGCUCACCUAGGCGACGAUCCCUAGCUGGUCUGAGAGGAUGACCAGCCACACUGGAACUGAGACACGGUCCAGACUCCUACGGGAGGCAGCAGUGGGGAAUAUUGCACAAUGGGCGCAAGCCUGAUGCAGCCAUGCCGCGUGUAUGAAGAAGGCCUUCGGGUUGUAAAGUACUUUCAGCGGGGAGGAAGGGAGUAAAGUUAAUACCUUUGCUCAUUGACGUUACCCGCAGAAGAAGCACCGGCUAACUCCGUG
rnacentral:rRNA from 1 species